UUUUGGAGGAGGCGAGCCUGGAAACUGAUCCAGAAAGCGCGAAGCUACGAGACUCUUUGCGAACAUGGUUUAUUCGCAAUAAAGUUGCUCGUAGCGGGAGUAAUAAUUUACUAGGAAUACUGCGAAAAGCGUCUUCUCUUUCUGCUUUUUCAUCUAUUCCACAGGAUGUUAGGACAUUGCUGAAAGCUCCGGUUAACGUCAGCGAGCAGAUUACUAAGGUUCCUGGUGGAGGUGAAAUGUGGUACCAAGGCGUUGAAUGUUGUUUCAACAUUAUUUUCGCGAUGUGGACGUACUAGAGGAUGUGUUUGAGCUGAAUCUUUCAGUGGACGGAAUACCAAUAUAUAACCGCAGCGCAAUACAGAUGUGGCCUAUACUAAUGCAGUUGCACAAUAUGCCGAAUGUUCCUGUUAUGGUGGUUGGAAUAUUUUGCGGCACUUCUAAACCAAACGAUGUUGAGCCUUUCCUGAGACCUUUGGUGGAGGAACUAAAUAGGCUUCAUGAUCACAAAAUGAACCUAAACGGCAAAAAAAAUAACUGUUUCGGUUAUAGUCAUAAUCGCUGACUCGCCUGCACGCGCAUUUAUUAAACAAGUUUGCUACUACAACGGAGUACAUGGGUGUUUAAAAUGUAAAUGCUGUGGUACUUCCCUAAAAACACCAAAAAAAGUUAUUUUCGA